UACAGAGGGUGCGAGCGUUGUCCGGAAUCACUGGGCGUAAAGGGCGCGUAGGUGGUGGCUUAAGCGUGCGGUGAAAGCUCGGGGCUCAACUCCGAGUCGGCCGUGCGAACUGGGCUCACUGGAGCAUAGUAGAGGCAGGUGGAAUUCCGGGUGUAGCGGUGGAAUGCGUAGAGAUCCGGAAGAACACCGGUGGCGAGGGCGGCCUGCUGGGCUGUUGCUGACGCUGAGGCGCGACAGCGUGGGGAGCAAACAGG
rnacentral:rRNA from 1 species